rnacentral:rRNA from 1 species
CGCGAAUAGCUCAUUACAACAGCUAUAAUUUACUCGAUCUUGACACAAUCCUACUUGGAUAACUGUGGUAAUUCUAGAGCUAAUACAUGCAUUAAAGCUCUGACCUUCGGGGAAGAGUGCAUUUAUUAGAACAAAACCAAGCGGCUUCGGCUGUUUUCGGUUGACUCAUAGUAACUGAGCUGAUCGCAUGGUCUUGCACCGGCGACGUGUCGUUCAAGUAUCUGCCGUAUCAACUUUCGAUGGUAGUGUAUCUGACUACCAUGGUGAUCACGCGUAACGGAGAAUAAGGGUUCGACUCCGGAGAGUUCGCCUGAGAAAUCGCGAACACAUCUAAGGAAGGCAGCAGGCGCGAAAAUUACCCACUCUCAGCACGAGGAGGUAGUGACGAAAAAUAACGAGACCGUUCUCUUAUGAGGCCGGUCAUCGGAAUGGGUACAAUUUAAACCCUUUAACGAGUAUCUAUGAGAGGGCAAGUCUGGUGCCAGCAGCCGCGGUAAUUCCAGCU